AUUGAACGCUGGCGGCAUGCUUUACACAUGCAAGUCGAACGGUAACAGGUCUUCGGAUGCUGACGAGUGGCGAACGGGUGAGUAAUGCAUCGGAACGUGCCCAGUCGUGGGGGAUAACGCAGCGAAAGCUGUGCUAAUACCGCAUACGAUCUAUGGAUGAAAGCGGGGGAUCGCAAGACCUCGCGCGAUUGGAGCGGCCGAUGUCAGAUUAGCUAGUUGGUGGGGUAAAGGCCCACCAAGGCGACGAUCUGUAGCUGGUCUGAGAGGACGAUCAGCCACACUGGGACUGAGACACGGCCCAGACUCCUACGGGAGGCAGCAGUGGGGAAUAUUGGACAAUGGGCGAAAGCCUGAUCCAGCAAUACCGCGUGUGUGAAGAAGGCCUUAGGGUUGUAAAGCACUUUCAAUU
rnacentral:rRNA from 1 species